rnacentral:rRNA from 1 species
UAAGGAAUAUUGCUCAAUGGGAGAAAUCCUGAAGCAGCAACGCCGCGUGGAGGAUGAAGGGUCUAUGACUUGUAAACUCCUGUAAAGAAGGAAAAAAUUCCCAUUAGAUGGGAGAUGAUGGUACUUCUGGAGUAAGCCCCGGCUAACUACGUGCCAGCAGCCGCGGUAAUACGUAGGGGGCAAGUGUUGUCCGGAUUUACUGGGUGUAAAGGGUGCUCAGGCGGAUUUGUAAGUCAGAGGUGAAAUCUUACAGCUUAACUGUGAAACUGCCUUUGAUACUGCAAGCCUAGAGUAUGGAAGAGAGUGAUGGAAUAUCUGGUGUAGCAGUGAAAUGCGUAGAUAUCAGAUAGAACACCAAUGGCGAAGGCAGUCACUUGGUCCAUUACUGACGCUAAAGCACGAAAGCGUGGGUAGCAAACA